CCUGCAGUCGACGGUGACGAUGGAGCUUGCUCUGUCUGAUCAGUGGCGAACGGGUGAGUAACACGUGAGUAACCUGCCCCCGACUCUGGAAUAACCGUGGGAAACGACGGCUAAUACCGGAUAUGAGACGCACAGGCAUCUGUGGGUCUGGAAAGAUUUAUCGGUCAGGGAUGGACUCGCGGCCUAUCAGCUUGUUGGUGGGGUAAUGGCCUACCAAGGCGACGACGGGUAGCCGGCCUGAGAGGGCGACCGGCCACACUGGGACUGAGAUACGGCCCAGACUCCUACGGGAGGCAGCAGUGGGGAAUAUUGCACAAUGGGCGCAAGCCUGAUGCAGCGACGCCGCGUGAGGGAUGAAGGCCUUCGGGUUGUAAACCUCUUUCAGCAGGGAAGAAGCGAAAGUGACGGUACCUGCAGAAGAAGCGCCGGCUAACUACGUGCCAGCAGCCGCGGUAAUACGUAGGGCGCAAGCGUUGUCCGGAAUUAUUGGGCGUAAAGAGCUCGUAGGCGGUUUGUCGCGUCUGCUGUGAAAACCUGAGGCUCAACCUCGGGCUUGCAGUGGGUACGGGCAGACUAGAGUGCGGUAGGGGUGACUGGAAUUCCUGGUGUAGCGGUGGAAUGCGCAGAUAUCAGGAGGAACACCGAUGGCGAAGGCAGGUCACUGGGCCGCAACUGACGCUGAGGAGCGAAAGCAUGGGGAGCGAACAGGAUUAGAUACCCUGGUAGUCCAUGCCGUAAACGUUGGGCACUAGGUGUGGGGCUCAUUCCACGAGUUCCGUGCCGCAGCAAACGCAUUAAGUGCCCCGCCU
rnacentral:rRNA from 1 species